rnacentral:rRNA from 1 species
GAUGAACGCUGGCGGCGUGCUUAACACAUGCAAGUCGAACGGUGAAGGCGGAGCUUGCUCUGCUGGAUCAGUGGCGAACGGGUGAGUAACACGUGAGCAAUCUGCCCCUGACUCUGGGAUAAGCGCUGGAAACGGCGUCUAAUACUGGAUACGAGCUGCGAAGGCAUCUUCAGCAGCUGGAAAGAAUUUCGGUCAGGGAUGAGCUCGCGGCCUAUCAGCUUGUUGGUGAGGUAAUGGCUCACCAAGGCGUCGACGGGUAGCCGGCCUGAGAGGGUGACCGGCCACACUGGGACUGAGACACGGCCCAGACUCCUACGGGAGGCAGCAGUGGGGAAUAUUGCACAAUGGGCGAAAGCCUGAUGCAGCAACGCCGCGUGAGGGACGACGGCCUUCGGGUGGUAAACCUCUUUUAGCAGGGAAGAAGCGAAAGUGACGGUACCUGCAGAAAAAGCGCCGGCUAACUACGG